CGGGCUGUUUGUUCAGGUCCACAUUAUACUGCACAGUGUUAUGGGAAAAGUGUUUUCUUUCUGAUUCUAUGCAGUUAUUAUAUGAUUAUUUAUGUAUCUUCUGCAAUUAAUAUCUUACUGUAUGUUUUUCAUUACUUGUAUUUUAUGUAUGUGACCUUUGUUAUGGGAAAAAUUGUCUCUUCCUUAUUUCUAUGCAUUUCUAUGCAGUUAUUAUACGAGUUAUGACUUAUGUUCUGCAAUUAAUAUCUUAUGUUUUGUCUUACUGUAUGCAUUUGACAUUUCACCUAGAUUGUUCAAUGGUUGUCUCUGCCUGAUAGACUCUCAACUCUAGCUCCCAAACCCAAGGUCGGGGAGUUGUGUCUCUGUCUGUUGAGACUUGGUGCUCCUUUCUCACAGAUAGUUGGACGUCAGCGAUGCAGGUGUGAGAAAGUAAAAAUCUUCACACACACUGCGACAGGGAGGAGAUGGUGCAUGUAAUUUGAUUGGGUUAGAAAGACAUUCCACCUUAGUCGGACAGAGAAGCUAAAAGGCAGAAGCAACUUUAGGAUCGUGGGCUCUUUGCAUCACACCUUCGUGGUGUGUGCACUGAUCUCCCCAGCUGGUUUUUGGUUUGUUGAUGUGCACGAUCAACAUCCAUGCAUUUUAUUUGCUUUCCCCAUUAUUGUUAUUUUCUUUAUUAUUUCAAUAAAUCGCACAAAAGGACAACUCUCUCUCAUCUACUUCUUUAUGGAAAAUUUCCACCACAGAAAUUGGCGUUGUCGGCAGGAUCCCGCUGCAGGUCGUCUGGACGGUGUGACCAGGGACGAUAGUCCUGAGGACUAGGGUCGCUCAGCCUCCAAACCUCUACAGACAUUCAGAGCUGGAAGGACUGCUCACCCGUCUGAAUCGCCUCUGACGAGAUCCACGAACUCAGAUUCAAACUCAAAUCCUAAUUUGGCUCGGCUCGGUGAGAGAGAUUCCUUUUAAUUUGGGAAAAAACAAAAAGAAAAUAUAACUAGGAAAAGAGAUAAUAAUAUUUCUAAAACGACUAUGUGGCUGAAAACAUCUAAAAUAUAAUAAUUAGGACCAAACAAUUUUUUUUAAUUAAAAAAUUUAUUAUUCGGGUAAAAAUUAAUUAGGUCAAAGUCUGCCCUGGUGGUCGAGACGGUGGUUGCUAAGGGUUGGCUCGUGGGACCGAGCUUGUUUUGUCUGUACUGAGGAUACAGACCAGUGUGCAGAUCUGAGCGCAGUCCAAAGGGUGUGGACAAGGAAAUAAAAGACGGCUUCUGAAAUACGGAACGCAUUUGCAGGGGGAAGUGUUUUUGAGAUACGAGGGACCCGGGUCUUAGAGGGGCCUGACGGUGAGGGACCACUUCCGAGAACCCUGUUGCUGAUCUGAGCGGUUCCCUUUCUACGGAGACGUCAGUGGAAGAGAAAUUUCGAAAAAAGGUUCCGGCCGGAACACAUAAAAAUCUAAGGCAGGAAACCGCCGGGACUCUGAAAGAUGGGUUCGGGGCGAUCUAAGUCUCCACCACCAGACUGCAGCAUUACAAAAUUAAAAGUAAUUAUAAAAGUAAAAAGUAAAUAUGGUUAUUAGUGCGUUUCAUGUUUCCAUGAGUGGGAAACUGGUUAUGGGUUCAAAAGGAGAAUCGCUUUGUGUAAGGACAUACGCACCUUAAAAGAAAAAUUAGAGACAAAAGAAAAUACUUGAAAAAGCAAAACUAUCAAAACUAAAGCCCUAAAAGAAACAAAAGAUGAGAGUAACAGGAAAAAAGGAGAUAACAACUCUGGGGAAGAAUUGUUUGCACUCGCCACACACACACACACACACCACACACACAUCAUGUUAAGAGCAAAUGCUCCCAUUGUUUCUGCUCUUUGUCCUAAUGCAGAACUGAGCGCGAUGAGGGUAAAUCCGGAUCUGGACUCCUUUCCCACCAUCAGCAGAAGAACCGAAGGAGAAGAAGCGCUGACCAACAACCAGAACAGGGUGGAAGCUCUGACACCACAGCAGCUGGAGGACACAGACCACAGCAUGGAGGCCUCAGCGACUCCCACAACGUCUGCAGCCAUCACGUUCUGGGCUCAUCAGAUGAACCAGCUACUACAGACCCUGCACCAGCAGGAAAAGACUGUGUCUGAAGCUUCUGAAGCCGUGAAAGUGUCAUACACGCGUGUGUGUCUGACAGACACCUGCUUAUGACAAUCAGCAAAGGAAAACAAGGACAGAGCAACAGCAGAGUGAGAAGACGUGCUCUAACACAGACACUGGUUGAAACAACAGGAGAGGCUUCAGACGUGAUCGGCCCAAAAGAGCUGCAUGCGAGGAUCCAGGAAAGGUCUGUCAUCGAGGAACAACUGUCCCAUCGAAAGGCUUCACCCGCUGGCGCUCACAUCCGACUGAUGGUUGGGGAAGGAGGAAGGUGACGGUUCCUUUUCACGUGACGUACAAGACGGUACCGCAAACACACACACACAUUCAUACACGCAAUGAAGAAACACGCUUACAGCUGAUACACGUUCAAAUUCAUGUUCAUGCUCAUCUGCUCGCAAUGAAGAAUCGCUUUUUGCUCAAAAAAAAAAAAUCCCACAGAGUGAUUUUAAAAUGAUGACAAACAGCUAAAUGACAACUGCUGCAUGACUUUACAGUCUGAUGGGUUCAAACUAUUUUAACUUGCAACAAAUUCAGUAAUAAAAUCCUUCAUGUUUCUAAAAAGAUUUGUGCACAAUAUAGGUUUGUCUGGACAGACUAGAAGACUGUAGAAAAAACAAAACAGACUGUAGGAAGACUGAGACCGACUGAAACAGACUAUUAAUGACUAUUAAAGGGAAGACGACUAUUAGAGAGAAGUAAUAAUAAUUACUGUACGUACCAGACUAUUAAAGAAAAACUUAUUCUUUCACUGUCUUGUGCAACAUCUGACAGCAAGACACCUUAACAUUCAUCUUUGCUUUCAAACUUGUGCCCAGUUAAAUUUUUAGGAAGAGAUCUCAUGUAGUUUAGAUAUUUGAUUGAUUUCCACUCCAGACGGAGUGCAGGUCACGUCUACAGACAUUCUAAAUAAUCCCUCUUUUGUUGGUGUUAACUUCAGCUCAGCUGUGCUCUUAUCAUUGGCUGCUGAGGGGGGGCUGUAACUGAGGCCCUCACACAGGCUGCAUCACAGCUUGUUUAUGAUUUCACACACAAACACACAAACUGACCUCAACUUCCCUCUUUUGCGAUGAACACAGGUCUGCGCUUGCGAUUUCUUUUCCUAACGAACAAAAAGAUUUUUGAUUUUUUAUUCUACAGUUCCACACGUCCCUCUGUGAAAACAUGAUGGAGACAGAUGCAGGACGUGGGUCCUUUCGUGAUCAGAUGUCAACGGGGUGGAGACUGGUGAACGACUUCUGACCCCAUGUGACGUAUUUACCCACAUUACAUGCUUUUGUUUUUAUUUUUAUUUUUCAGAGGACGCUCUGAGCCAAAACACAGAGCCUUACAGGAAGCCCUGUUUCCCUGUGGCUCACACACAGACAUGAUGUAGGUUCAAUCAGAGGAUGUGAACCAGUGGUCAUCACACCUAAAUCUGACCACAGACCAUGUGAACAACAACACCCUCUUAAAGGAAGCCAUAGAUGGUGUUACUGCAGACACCACUAAGCUACUGAAACAUUGGAUGCUACAGGCCACAAAGAGAGCCUGUCUAAAUUACACUUUGUUCAGACAAAGGUUAUUUUCUGGGUCAUUGUAAUUACAGCUGAUGGCAAAUCCAUCUCACCCAACAGAGUUGAAGCAAUUUGAAACCUGCCUAAACCGUGCACGUAAAAACAGCUGAUGUCUUUUCUAGGUCUUUGUUCUUAUUGUAGGAACUUCAUUCUUAACUUUACCUUCUCUGAGGCCCCACUCAGGGUUCUGAUGCAGACAUCUUCAUCGUCCACUUCUUGUCUCACGUGGACGUCUGAGGCUGAACAACGUUCACUGACCUCAAGCUUGCUCUUCAGUCGGCUCCUACUUUGGGUCUUCCUGAUCUGACCCUACGCGACCUUUCACUCAAACAGUGGAUGAGAAAUCAGGUUGUACGACUUCUGUUCUUUUGUCCUCAUACUGUCUUUGAUUCUUUUGGAAUAGAUCACAUCUUUCUACAGCCAGAUGGCUUAGAUACAACACCACCUUGCUCAACAUGCUGAAAAUUACUAUCAAGAGUCCGUCGUGAAGUCUGGCGCUUUGCAAAGACACUGCUCUGCUCAGGCUGCAGAGUUGAUCGUAUUGACUGAAGCUGGUAAACUAGCAGAAGGAGAGACUGUUACCAUCUACAGACUCCACAGAUGCUUGUCACACGUUGGUUCUCCUUGGAAGCAUGGGAAGCUUUGAAGUCUGAUUGCAAACCUAUCUUACAUCAUGAUAAGGUUCUGCUUUGCUGGACGCUGUCCUGCUGCCUACAGCUAAUGCUGUUUGUAACUGUCCAACAUCAGUGACGACUUUGUUUCUGCCGACAUGCAGCUGCAGACGCUGCUGCGAAGGUCGCUGCCCAACAACCCCUCCCUCUCCUGAUCCUCGUUUCCUCUUGUUCCCUCUCCAACUCUCUCUAUCCUUUCCUUCCUCAUCUCCCUGUGCUUUAAACAUUUUGUACCUCACAGGAACUCAGACUCUGGCUGACGAAUGGUUCCACCUGUAGCCAUGGAGUCUGGUAUGGGCCUGAUGGCAGCCGUGCCGCCCAAACACCUUUUCCCCACAAUUCAGAUUUCCAACAGGUGAAAACAGGCGACAGGACCAUUACACCAUCCAACGAGGGGACUGGCGAUCGUUAAGGACUUCAGGAGGAAGCAUUGGGACUCCAAACGAUGGCGAGGCCCCUUCCAGGUCCUUCUGACAACCCACACGGCUGAAAGAUCGCAGUGAGGGUGACUUGGAUCCACUCCAUCCACUGCAGGAAGGUCCCAGAUCCAACAGACGACCCUCCAUCUACAUCUACACCACACGAGAAAGCCACCACUGACGAAAAGAAUUAAGAAGGACGACCCUCGCUGUGCUCACACACGCACUGAGGCGAGGCUGCGUUGACCAUUCAGCUAAAGGUGUGAGCCAAGCGCCGCCUGAAGCUGCGCCGGUGAAUCACACUAUCAGACCAUACAUCUACACACACGCUCCUGAGAAAACACACACACGAGCAGCCUUGAGUUGCCGACGCUGGACGACGUGUAGACUCUUCACAUCACGGAGUGACAGUGACUCAGACGACAUUGGGAGGAAACCUGGCGGUGAUAACGAACCCCAAGUGUCUCUGUGAUCAGCUGAUCACAACCUGAAGAACCCCAACGAACUGUCAAUACUUCAACACACAGAUGAAAGACAACAGAAGCGGAAAUAUGCAUCAUCAUUCUGGUUAAAUCCCUGAAUCUCCUAUUCGCUCUAGACCCAAAUGUACAAUUAAAGAUCCGAAAGUAUGAAAUCUAUCUUAAGAUUAUAUGAAACAGAACCCCACCGGAAACCUAUGGCUAUCAUACAUUAAUUGUCUUUAUUACAUUACUAUUGAAUGGCCGUAGACACGUUGUUAGCAGAGAAAAGAGACGUUUGUGUUAUGUUCGGAGAGGCAUAUUGUACUUACAUCCUGAAUAACACUGAUUCUAAUGGUAUUGUGGCGAAGGCGCUACACGGCCUUCAGAAUCUCAGCUAACUCUGGUAUAGAUUCUUCCUCUUGGAAUUGGCUAGACGAAAUGUCUGGAAAAUGGAAAUCUGUUCUCAUGUCCACAGCUGUUUCCUUUAUAAUUGAGAUGGCUGUGAUUCUCUUGUUUGGUUUUUGCAUUAUCCCACUGGUUAGAGGUCUCAUCAUGCGUGCGACCUCAGCAACACUCUCGUAUCAAAUGACACAAUGCACUAUGUUCAAAAACCCCAACUCUAACUCACUUAAUGACUUUGACGAUGGUAUUGGCUUAUUUUCUUCACAUGCCAAUACAGAGGUUAUUCUUGUUUAACUACCCACCAAAAACAGCUCCCAACCUUUUGUCCCUUAGUUACUUCCAUUUUAUGUGAAGGUGUAUUUUGAAUCUUGAUGAGUUAAUACCCUUAUUGUUUCAUUUGCAAGGAUCUUUUAUUAUUACAGAAUGUGAUGUUGACAAUUUUUAUUCCUUUAUGGUUUGAUUAAUGUGUAAUCAAAAGGGGGGAGUGUUAUGGGAAAAAUUGUCUCUUCCUUAUUUCUAUGCAUUUCUAUGCAGUUAUUAUACGAGUUAUGACUUAUGUUCUGCAAUUAAUAUCUUAUGUUUUGUCUUACUGUAUGCAUUUGACAUUUCACCUAGAUUGUUCAAUGGUUGUCUCUGCCUGAUAGAC